GUGCUCACUUCGGCAGCACAUAUACUAAAAUUGAAACAAUACAGAGAAGAUUAGCAUGGGCUUGCGCAAGGAUGACACACAAAUUUGGGAAGCAUUCCCAUAUUUU